rnacentral:lncRNA from 1 species
GUGUUUGCCGCUGAAUGAAAUCAAUCUAAUUUUUCUAAUUCAGGGUUUUCAAGAUAAACCCAGAUUUCUCAAGAAAGAAAAAUCUAGAAAGAUUUCAAAAUCCACCACCUACACACUUAAAAGUUGUAGCAGCUUCUUAUGCCAUGGGAAACAUGUCAUUUUGAGAUGAUGUUUUUUCUAGGUUUAAGUUUGGUCUUAAACAUUUAUAUUUAAUUUCUCAUUGUCUUAGUUCAAAGAAUUUACUUUUAUAUUUUAAAAUAACUUUUUACACAAUAACUCAGUGUCAUAUCAUGUUAGAUAUAAAACUAUGUCCUAAAACUAUUUUAUCCUUUUUUUUUUUUUUUUUUUUUGAGACAGUCUUGCUCUAUAGCCCAGGCUGGAGUGCAGUGGUGCAAUCUCGGCUCACCGCAACCUCUGCCUCCUGGGUUGAAACAAUUCUCCUGCCUCAGCCUCCUAAGUAGCUGGGACUACAGGCAUGUGCCACCACGCAUAGCUAAUUUUCAGUAGAGACAGGGUUUGUAUUUUUAGUAGAGACAGGGUUUCACCGUGUUGGCCAGGCUGGUCUCAAACUCCUGACCUCAGUUGAUUCACCUGCCUCGGCCUCCCAAAGUGCUAGGAUUACAGGCAUGAGCCAUCCUGCCCAGCCUAUUUUAUACUGCUUAUACUAUUUAUAUAGUAUAAAAAUAGUUUUAAAACUAUUUUAUGGUAUACUUUUUAUAAAGUAAAAAGUAUACUGUAGUAUAAUUUUUAUACUAUAUACCAUAUUAUAUUUUUAUAAAGUUGUUUCCAUUUGCUACUAACUUUUUCUUUUGUAUGUCAGUUUCCUGAUUUCUACAUUUCCUGCAGGUCACCUGGAACAUCAAAAGAAAAAGAAAAGCUGUAAUAUUGAUGGGUGGCCUACUGUGCAACAAGAUUUUCAUAUAGUGUUUUUGGUGUUAUAUGGAUGUUUCUUCUCGCAGUGGAUGUGUAGAGUCAGAGCACAGAUGGGCAUACUCUCAAACCUUAAUAACUGUGCCACAUUGCCCUUUGAGUUUAUUCUAAACCUUAGCAAGUCAGAGAUCACACUGUAUGGAACUAACUUCUAUCUAAAUUGCAUGAUUGAUUGAUAGGAGAUUUCCAAAUAACAUUUGGACUGCCUUACAUCCAGUAAAAGAACUCAGCAAAAUACAAAUAAAUAUGAUAAUAUCUUAGACAGCAAAUCUUCUCAUCCCACAAGAGGCAGGAAACUGCUAGAGGAAGCUGCCUUGGAGAGGAUUCUUUCCUCCCCUCCCGAAAGGAGCUGAACUCAAAAUCUCUCCAUUUCACAAUAGACAUUGGAGAACAUUUUCAACAGUGGAUUUGCACCGGUGUUUUGUGUCCUAGAAAAACGUUCCCUUCAGGUAGGUUCUAAUAAGCCC